rnacentral:rRNA from 1 species
GACGAACCGUGCGAACGUUGUUCGGAAUCACUGGGCUUAAAGGGCGCGUAGGCGGGCUGUCAAGUCUGGGGUGAAAUCCCGCGGCUCAACCGUGGAACUGCCUCAGAUACUGACGGCCUCGAGGGAGGUAGGGGCGUGCGGAACUGUGAGUGGAGCGGUGAAAUGCGUUGAUAUUCACAGGAACUCCGGUGGCGAAGGCGGCGCGCUGGACCUCUUCUGACGCUGAGGCGCGAAAGCUAGGGGAGCAAACGGG